rnacentral:rRNA from 1 species
UGGGGAAUAUUGCACAAUGGGCGAAAGCCUGAUGCAGCGACGCCGCGUGCGGGAUGACGGCCUUCGGGUUGUAAACCGCUUUCAGCUCUGACGAAGCUUUUGUGACGGUAGGAGCAGAAGAAGCACCGGCUAACUACGUGCCAGCAGCCGCGGUAAUACGUAGGGUGCGAGCGUUGUCCGGAAUUAUUGGGCGUAAAGAGCUUGUAGGCGGCUUGUCGCGUCUGCUGUGAAAUCCCGGGGCUUAACCCCGGGCUUGCAGUGGGUACGGGCAGGCUAGAGUGUGGUAGGGGAGACUGGAAUUCCUGGUGUAGCGGUGGAAUGCGCAGAUAUCAGGAGGAACACCGAUGGCGAAGGCAGGUCUCUGGGCCAUUACUGACGCUGAGAAGCGAAAGCGUGGGGAGCGAACAGGAUUAGAUACCCUGGUAGUCCACGCCGUAAACGUUGGGCGCUAGGUGUGGGUCCCAUUCCACGGGGUCCGUGCCGCAGCUAACGCAUUAAGCGCCCCGCCUGGGGAGUACGGCCGCAAGGCUA